UACGGAGGGUGCGAGCGUUGUCCGGAAUCACUGGGCGUAAAGGGCGCGUAGGCGGCGCGACAAGUCAAUGGUGAAAGCCCGAGGCUCAACUUCGGGUCGGCCACUGAUACUGUUGGGCUUGAGCACUGUAGAGGCAGGUGGAAUUCCGGGUGUAGCGGUGGAAUGCGUAGAGAUCCGGAGAACACCGGUGGCGAAGGCGGCCUGCUGGGCAGUAGCUGACGCUGAGGCGCGACAGCGUGGGGAGCAAACAGG
rnacentral:rRNA from 1 species